rnacentral:rRNA from 1 species
AUUGAACGCUGGCGGCAGGCCUAACACAUGCAAGUCGAACGAGUGGCGGACGGGUGAGUAAUGUAUGGGAAACUGCCCGAUGGAGGGGGAGAACUACUGGAAACGGUAGCUAAUAACGCGUAUCAUCGGAAGUGCCCAGAUGUGAUUAGCUUGUAGGUGAGGUAACGGCUCACCUAGGCGACGAUCCCUAGCUGGUCUGAGAGGAGGACCAGCAACACUGUGACGUGGACACGGUCCAGACUCCUACGAGAGGCAGCAGUGGGGAAUAUUGUGCAAUUGGCGCAUGCCUGAAUCAGCCAUGUCGCGUGUAUGAAGAAGGCCUUCGGUUUGUAAAGUACUUUCAGCGGGGAGGCGUUACCCGCCGAAUAAGCACCGGCUAACUCCGUGCCAGCAGCCGCGGUAAUUC